AACGAACGCUGGCGGCGUGCCUAACACAUGCAAGUCGAACGGAACCUUCGGGCCUAGUUGCGCACGUGUGCGUGCCGCCUGGUAACCUGCCCGUGGGUUCGGAGUCCCUCACCUAAGGGUGUGCUAAUACAGGUUAGUGUCUUCGGACCAAAGAUUUCUCGCGUUUGGAUGGGGCCGCGUUAGUUUAGCUAGUUGGUAGUGUACUAGCAUACCAACGCGACGAUCCAUAGCUGGUGGGUGAGGAGGAUCAGCUACACUGGCUCUGAGACACGGCCCAGCCUCGUACGCGAGGCAGGAGUGGGGAAUACUGGACGCGGGGCGAAAGUCUGAUACAGCAAUGCCGGGGGUGUGAUGAAGGCCUUAGUGUUGCAAAUCUCUUUUACACGGGACGAGAAUGACGGUACCGGGUGAAGAAGCACCGGCUAACUACGUG
rnacentral:rRNA from 1 species